UGGAUAUGCAGUGGGUGUCAAAAAAGGGGGUCAAUACAAUAAAAUACACAGAACAGAGCUCAAGUAAUCCUCGAUACAAUAGGAAUAUUAAAAGUAUGGGGCAGAAUUCAAAAGCAGGUAUUAUUACAUGAGACGGUUUGGAUUUAUUCAGAGUCCUGGAGACCUCGGCCAUCAUGCUGUCUCCCCCUUUUAAACACAAUGUUUAAGAUUGGCUCUUACAGUAACAAUACAUAUUAAACCAGACAAAAGUCAAGACUAAGAAAUCGUCAUGAGCCGAGUCGAGAUAAAACACCUGCACGCCGAGUGGCCAAACGCGAUGCAACAGCAAAGAGCAGAAGCCACAGGACGUCCUGUUCUGUCCCUCAGGAGACUGCGGUUCUGUCAAGUUCUGAGAAGAACUCCCAGGACAUUGUCUAGCCCCACCCACAAUGCCAGGAGAAGGCACCGCCCCUUCCAUCCAGGACACCACAAAAGCGGGCAAUCCCCAGAUGGAGCCUUUUAUUUUGGACCUGGAACUCAACGCUGAAAUGCCAUACCCAUGGGCUGAUUGAUGCCACUGUAGUCUUGAGUGCUCAGGUGCUGUACCACGACACGCCAAGAAAAAAUGAAAACUGGCGCCUGCUUGUGCUGCCUCCAGAUCUCCAGAAGAGAAGCCCAACUAGAGCUCUGCCCACUUCCCCUUCUCCAGGCCACGCCCUCCUGCAGACAUCACUUCCACCUAGGACCCGCCUCUUCCUGCCUAGCCUCUAUACGAUCCGAGCCCCGCACUCUCCACUCUGUCACUGUUCUGACUACUCGCUUCUAAUCUUUUGCUGCCAUGUGAUGAUAUCCAGGGUGGACCCCCCAAACCUUUCUCUUUGUCUUCUACACCUGUCUGUAAGCUCUGCAGGUCAUUCGUUUGACCUCACGGCUUGUUUUCUGCUCACCCGUGGGACUUUCUAUGGACAGGUGUGUGCCAAUCAACUGAAUGGACCACAGGUGGGCUCUUAACAAGGUGAGGAAACAUCUCGGUGAAGAUCAAUGCGGUGCACCACAGCCAAAUUUCAGGUGUCAUAGCAAAAGGGUCUGAAUA